GCAAUGGACGAAAGUCUGACCGAGCAACGCCGCGUGAGUGAAGAAGGUUUUCGGAUCGUAAAGCUCUGUUGUAAGUCAAGAACGUGUGUGAGAGUGGAAAGUUCACACAGUGACGGUAGCUUACCAGAAAGGGACGGCUAACUACGUGCCAGCAGCCGCGGUAAUACGUAGGUCCCGAGCGUUGUCCGGAUUUAUUGGGCGUAAGGGGAGCGCAGGCGGUCAGGAAAGUCUGGAGUAAAAGGCUAUGGCUCAACCAUAGUGUGCUCUGGAAACUGUCUGACUUGAGUGCAGAAGGGGAGAGUGGAAUUCCAUGUGUAGCGGUGAAAUGCGUAGAUAUAUGGAGGAACACCAGUGGCGAAAGCGGCUCUCUGGUCUGUCACUGACGCUGAGGCUCGAAAGCGUGGGUAGCGAACAGGAUUAGAUACCCUGGUAGUCCACGCCGUAAACGAUGAGUGCUAGGUGUUAGGCCCUUUCCGGGGCUUAGUGCCGGAGCUAACGCAAUAAGCACUCCGCCUGGGGGAGUACGACCGCAAGGUUGAAACUCAAAGGAAUUGACGGGGGCCCGCACAAGCGGUGGAGCAUGUGGUUUAAUUCGAAGCAACGCGAAGAACCU
rnacentral:rRNA from 1 species